rnacentral:rRNA from 1 species
AGAGUUUGAUCCUGGCUCAGGAUGAACGCUAGCGACAGGCCUAACACAUGCAAGUCGAGGGGCAGCGGAGAGGUAGCAAUACCCUUGCCGGCGACCGGCGCACGGGUGAGUAACACGUAUGCAAUCCAUCUGUAACAGGGGGAUAACCCGGAGGAAUCCGGACUAAUACCCCAUAAUAUGGGCGCUCCGCAUGGAGAGCCCAUUAAAGAGAGCAAUUUUGGUUACAGACGAGCAUGCGCUCCA